AGGGUUUGAUCAUGGCUCAGAACGUACGCUGGCGGCACGCCUAACACAUGCAAGUCGAACGAAGUAGCAAUACUUAGUGGCAGACGGGUGAGUAACAUGUGGGUAUCUACCCUUUGGCCUGGAAUAACACGAGGAAACUUGUGCUAAUACUGGAUAAGUCUUUACGGAGAAAGCUUUAUGCACCGUUGGAUGAGCCCGCACUUGAUUAGUUUGUUGGUGGGGUAAUGGCCUACCAAGACUGUGAUCAAUAGCUGAUUUGAGAGGAUGAUCAGCCACAUUGGGACUGAGACACGGCCCAAACUCCUACGGGAGGCAGCAGUGGGGAAUCUUGCACAAUGGAGGAAACUCUGAUGCAGCGAUGCCGCGUGAGUGAAGAAGGCCCUUGGGUUGUAAAGCUCUUUCGUCGGGGAAGAAAAUGACCGUACCCGAAUAAGAAGGUCCGGCUAACUUCGUGCCAGCCGCCGCGGUAA
rnacentral:rRNA from 1 species